AAACUCAAAGGAAUUGACGGGGGCCCGCACAAGCGGUGGAGCAUGUCGUUUAAUUCGAAGCAACCCGAGGAACCUUACCAGGUCUUGACAUCCCGAUGCUAUUCCUAGAGAUAGGAAGUUUCUUCGGAACAUCGGUGACAGGUGGUGCAUGGUUGUCGUCAGCUCGUGUCGUGAGAUGUUGGGUUAAGUCCCGCAACGAGCGCAACCCCUAUUGUUAGUUGCCAUCAUUAAGUUGGGCACUCUAGCGAGACUGCCGGUAAUAAUCCGGAGGAAGGUGGGGAUCACGUCAAAUCAUCAUGCCCCUUAUGACCUGGGCUACACACGUGCUACAAUGGUUGGUACAACGAGUCGCGAGUCGGUGACGGCAAGCAAGUCUCUUAAAGCCAAUCUCAGUUCGGAUUGUAGGCUGCAACUCGCCUACAUGAAGUCGGAAUCGCUAGUAAUCGCGGAUCAGCACGCCGCGGUGAAUACGUUCCCGGGCCUUGUACACACCGCCCGU
rnacentral:rRNA from 1 species